rnacentral:rRNA from 1 species
AGUACAGCGGCGCACGGGUGAGUAACACGUGGGUAAUCUGCCCUGAAGUGGGGAAUAACACCGGGAAACCGGUGCUAAUACCGCAUACGAUCACGGAGUCUGCGGAUUUUGUGAUGAAAGGAGCAAUUCGCUUUAGGAGGAGCCCGCGGCUGAUUAGCUAGUUGGUGAGGUAAUGGCUCACCAAGGCUACGAUCAGUAUCCGGUCUGAGAGGACGGUCGGACACACUGGAACUGAGACACGGUCCAGACUCCUACGGGAGGCAGCAGUGGGGAAUUUUUCGCAAUGGGGGCAACCCUGACGAAGCAACGCCGCGUGGGUGAUGAAGUCUCUUGGGACGUAAAACCCUUUCGACGGGGAAGAAACCGCAAGGUUGACGGUACCCGUAGAAGAAGCCCCGGCUAACUCCGUGCCAGCAGCCGCGGUAAUACGGGGGGGGCAAGCGUUGUUCGGAAUUACUGGGCGUAAAGGGUGCGUAGGCGGUUCGUUAAGUUAGAUGUGAAAACUCUGGGCUCAACCCAGAGCCUGCAUCUAAAACUGGCGGGCCAGAGUUCUGGAGGGGGUAGCGGAAUUCCUGGUGUAGCGGUGAAAUGCGUAGAUAUCAGGAGGAACACCGGUGGGCGAGGCGGCUACCUGGACAGAAGCUGACGCUGAGGCACGAAAGCUAGGGGAGCAAACAGGAUUAGAUACCCCUGGUAGUCCUAGCCCUAACGAUGGGAUACUUGGUGGUGACCGGGAUUUGAAUCCGGUCGUGCCGAAGCUAACGCAU